rnacentral:rRNA from 1 species
UACGAAGGGGGCUAGCGUUGCUCGGAAUCACUGGGCGUAAAGGGUGCGUAGGCGGGUCUUUUAAGUCAGGGGUGAAAUCCUGGAGCUCAACUCCAGAACUGCCUUUGAUACUGAGGAUCUUGAGUAUGGGAGAGGUGAGUGGAACUGCGAGUGUAGAGGUGAAAUUCGUAGAUAUUCGCAAGAACACCAGUGGCGAAGGCGGCUCACUGGCCCAUAACUGACGCUGAGGAACGAAAGCUAGGGGAGCAAAGCGGGAUAGAA